ACGAACGCUGGCGGCGUGCUUAACCCAUGCAAGUCGAACGGUGAAGCCCUUCGGGGUGGAUCAGUGGCGAACGGGUGAGUAACACGUGAGCAACCUGCCCCUGGCUCUGGGACAACCACUGGAAACGGUGGCUAAUACCGGAUACGACCCGCCUCGGCAUCGAGUGUGGGUGGAAAGUUUUUCGGCUGGGGAUGGGCUCGCGGCCUAUCAGCUUGUUGGUGAGGUGAAGGCUCACCAAGGCGACGACGGGUAGCCGGCCUGAGAGGGCGACCGGCCACACUGGGACUGAGACACGGCCCAGACUCCUACGGGAGGCAGCAGUGGGGAAUAUUGCACAAUGGGCGAAAGCCUGAUGCAGCGACGCCGCGUGAGGGAUGACGGCCUUCGGGUUGUAAACCUCUUUCAGCUCCGAAGAAGCGAAAGUGACGGUAGGAGCAGAAGAAGCACCGGCUAACUACGUG
rnacentral:rRNA from 1 species